CACCGCGGUUAUACGAAAGACCCGAGUUGAUAGACGACGGCGUAAAGAGUGGUUAAGACAAACUUAUACAAGUAAAGCCGAACCCCCUCAGGACUGUUAUACGUGUCCGAAAGGGAGAAGUUCAACCACGAAGGUAGCUUUAUAAUACCUGAACCCACGAAAGCUACGAAA
rnacentral:rRNA from 1 species